GUGCCAGCAGCCGCGGUAAAACGUAGGAGGCGAGCGUUAUCCGGAUUUACUGGGUGUAAAGCGCGAGCAGGCGGUCUUGUAAGUGGUGUGUGAAAGCGCUCUGGCUCAACCGGGCGAGGACAUGCCAGACUGCGAGACUGGAGGCAGGUAGAGGCGAGUGGAAUUCCGGGUGUAGUGGUGAAAUGCGUAGAGAUCCGGAGGAACACCAGUGGCGAAGGCGACUCGCUGGGCCUGACCUGACGCUCAGACGCGAAAGCAUGGGGAGCGAACGGGAUUAGAAACCCUUGUAGUCC
rnacentral:rRNA from 1 species